UGGGGAAUAUUGCACAAUGGAGGGAACUCUGAUGCAGCGACGCCGCGUGAACGAAGAAGGCUUUCGAGUCGUAAAGUUCUUUUAUAUGGGAAGAUAAUGACGGUACCAUAAGAAGAAGCCCCGGCUAACUACGUGCCAGCAGCCGCGGUAAUACGUAGGGGGCUAGCGUUGUCCGGAAUCACUGGGCGUAAAGGGUUCGCAGGCGGAAAUGCAAGUCAGGUGUAAAAGGCAGUAGCUUAACUACUGUAAGCAUUUGAAACUGCAUAACUUGAGAAGAGUAGAGGUAAGUGGAAUUUUUAGUGUAGCGGUGAAAUGCGUAGAUAUUAAAAAGAAUACCGGUGGCGAAGGCGACUUACUGGGCUCAUUCUGACGCUGAGGAACGAAAGCGUGGGUAGCAAACAGG
rnacentral:rRNA from 1 species